UGAAAUUCUUACUUGCAGCAGCACAAUCGAUAUGUAAUCAUAGCACUCUGUAAACGCCAUAAUAAGCAACAAAAAAACAUACAUAUAUACAC